rnacentral:lncRNA from 1 species
ACUCCUCUCUGUAAUGGUGUGGGUGGUGUAGGGGGAGAACUCCUCUCUGUAAUGGUGUGGGUGGUGUAGGGGAGAACUCCUCUCUGUAAUGGUGUGGGUGGUGUAAGGGGAGAACUCCUCUCUGUAAUGGUGUGGGUGGUGUAGGGGGGGAACUCCUCUCUGUAAUGGUGUGGGUGGUGUAGGGGGGGAACUCCUCUCUGUAAUGGUGUGGGUGGUGUAGGGGGAGAACUCCUCUCUGUAAUGGUGUGGGUGGUGUAGGGGGAGAACUCCUCUCUGUAAUGGUGUGGGUGGUGUAGUGGGAGAACUCCUCUCUGUAAUGGUGUGGGUGGUGUAGUGGGAGAACUCCUCUCUGUAAUGGUGUGGGUGGUGUAGGGGGGGAACUCCUCUCUGUAAUGGUGUGGGUGGUGUAGGGGGAGAACUCCUCUCUGUUCCACCCUAUAGGUCAGUGGUUCCACCCUUCUGAUAUUUCCCUGUUCUCUGAAUCGCCCCUUCCUCUCCUCCUCCUCUCCCCUUCCUCUCCUCCUCCUCUCCCCCUCCUCUCACUUUCCUCUCCCCCUCCUCUCCUCCUCCUCUCCCCUUCCUCUCCCCCUCCUCUCCUCCUCCUCUCCCCUUCCUCU